rnacentral:rRNA from 1 species
UGCGUAGGUGGCAAGCGUUGUCCGGAUUUACUGGGCGUAAAGAGCGCGCAGGCGGUCGUUCAAGUCGCGUGUGAAAGCCCCCCGGCUCAACUGGGGAGGGUCACGCGAUACUGAUCGACUGGAAGGCAGGAGAGGGUAGUGGAAUUCCCGGUGUAGUGGUGAAAUGCGUAGAUAUCGGGAGGAACACCAGUGGCGAAGGCGACUACCUGGCCUGUUCUUGACGCUGAGGCGCGAAAGCUAGGGGAGCGAACAGG